rnacentral:tRNA from 1 species
GGGCUAGUAGCAUAACCUGGACAGUGCGAUCGGCUUCGGACCGAUUGAUCGGGGUUCAAAUCCUCGCUAGCUCA